UUAAAACAUUACCUGGUAGUUUUAUCAUAUAAAUGUAUACACUUUCAUGUACUUUGGUUAAUGAUUUGGGGGUCUGCAUCAAGCAGAAAUGGAUUAUAUAUAUUAUAUCAAUUAUUUUUUUUAUAUAAAUUAAAAAUUUGCAGAGAGAAUGUCAAUUGGCUUAAAGAAAGAUUUAGCAUCAACCCCUGGAUUUCUUUUAAGGGUACAGAAGUACAGGAGAUGCUCAGCAAUCUGGCAAAGAAGGCUGGCUGGACAUGAAAUGUUAUGGGGGUUAUGUCUACAUGUAGCUUUGGAUCCACAUAUUACAGAAAUCGCAUCAGAGCAAAGCUGAUGGGUAACAAAGAAGUUGAUGUAGAGGGUCCCUCCAUUAAGUCUCUACAUAAUUAUCGAUGAAAAUGUUUCCUUCCUUCUACAAUUAUGCUAACAAAUCCAGAGAGGGAAUACUUCACACUGAUGCUAGUAUGAUGCUAGUAUG